UAGGGAAUCUUCGGCAAUGGACGAAAGUCUGACCGAGCAACGCCGCGUGAGUGAAGAAGGUUUUCGGAUCGUAAAACUCUGUUGUUAGAGAAGAACAAGGACGUUAGUAACUGAACGUCCCCUGACGGUAUCUAACCAGAAAGCCACGGCUAACUACGUGCCAGCAGCCGCGGUAAUACGUAGGUGGCAAGCGUUGUCCGGAUUUAUUGGGCGUAAAGCGAGCGCAGGCGGUUUCUUAAGUCUGAUGUGAAAGCCCCCGGCUCAACCGGGGAGGGUCAUUGGAAACUGGGCGACUUGAGUGCAGAAGAGGAGAGUGGAAUUCCAUGUGUAGCGGUGAAAUGCGUAAAUAUAUGGAGGAACGCCAGUGGCGAAGGCGGCUCUCUGGUAUGUAACUGACGCUGAGGCUCGAAAGCGUGGGGAGCAAACAGG
rnacentral:rRNA from 1 species